UACGAAGGGGGGCUAGCGUUGCUCGGAAUGACUGGGCGUAAAGGGCGCGUAGGCGGAUGGCACAGUCAGAUGUGAAAUUCCCCGGGCUUAACCUGGGGGCUGCAUUUGAUACGUGUUGUCUAGAGUGAGGAAGAGGGUUGUGGAAUUCCCAGUGUAGAGGUGAAAUUCGUAGAUAUUGGGAAGAACACCGGUGGCGAAGGCGGCAACCUGGUCCUUGACUGACGCUGAGGCGCGAAAGCGUGGGGAGCAAACAGG
rnacentral:rRNA from 1 species